rnacentral:rRNA from 1 species
GAUGAACGCUAGCUACAGGCUUAACACAUGCAAGUCGAGGGGCAGCGGGAUUGAAGCUUGCUUCAAUUGCCGGCGACCGGCGCACGGGUGAGUAACGCGUAUCCAACCUUCCGUACACUCAGGGAUAGCCUUUCGAAAGAAAGAUUAAUACCUGAUGGUAUGAUGAGAUUGCAUGAUAUCAUCAUUAAAGAUUUAUCGGUGUACGAUGGGGAUGCGUUCCAUUAGGUAGUAGGCGGGGUAACGGCCCACCUAGCCAACGAUGGAUAGGGGUUCUGAGAGGAAGGUCCCCCACAUUGGAACUGAGACACGGUCCAAACUCCUACGGGAGGCAGCAGUGAGGAAUAUUGGUCAAUGGACGAGGGUCUGAACCAGCCAAGUAGCGUGAAGGAUGAAGGUCCUACGGAUUGUAAACUUCUUUUAUAAGGGAAUAAACCCUCCCACGUGUGGGAGCUUGUAUGUACCUUAUGAAUAAGCAUCGGCUAACUCCGUG